AACGAACGCUGGCGGCGCGCCUAAUACAUGCAAGUCGAGCGAGAAGACGUAGCAAUACGUUUGUAAAGCGGCGAACGGGUGAGGAAUACAUGGGUAACCUACCCUCGAGUGGGGAAGUAACUAGCCGAAGGUUAGCUAAUACCGCGUACGCUCCUUGGACUUCGGUUCAGGGAGGGAAAGCGAUACCGUGGGUAUCGCGCUCUUGGAUGGGCUCAUGUCCUAUCAGCUUGUUGGGAGGUAACGGCUCACCAAGGCUUCGACGGGUAGCUGGUCUGAGAGGACAAUCAGCCACACUGGCACUGCGACACGGGCCAGACUCCUACGGGAGGCAGCAGUAAGGAAUAUUGCGCAAUGGGCGAAAGCCUGACGCAGCGACGCCGCGUGGGGGAGU
rnacentral:rRNA from 1 species